rnacentral:rRNA from 1 species
CAGUAGCCACGGGAAUACGAAGGGGGCUAGCGUUGUUCGGAAUUACUGGGCGUAAAGCGCACGUAGGCGGAUUGUUAAGUUAGGGGUGAAAUCCCAGGGCUCAACCCUGGAACUGCCUUUAAUACUGGCAACCUCGAGUCCGAGAGAGGUGAGUGGAAUUCCGAGUGUAGAGGUGAAAUUCGUAGAUAUUCGGAGGAACACCAGUGGCGAAGGCGGCUCACUGGCUCGGUACUGACGCUGAGGUGCGAAAGCGUGGGGAGCAAACAGGAUUAGAUACCCCUGUAGUCCCUGUCUCUUAUAC